UAGAUCCCUAUUAUUUUACUCUAUUGUAUGAGUAGUAGUAGUUAUGAUCUUCAAACUCAAAGAAUUUGGCGGUAUUUUAUCUAAUCAGAGGAACCUGUCUAGUAAACGAUGAUCCACGAAUAUCUUACUUAGUUUAAAAGUUUGUAUACCGUCGUUUGUAAUUUUGCUUGUAGGUAUUUGUUAUAAUGAAAGAUUUAAUGAUGACAGAUCAAGGUGCAGCAAAUAGCUAUGAUUGGAUGGGUUACAUUGUAAUAUAGUGGUUUAAUUAAAAUGAAAUAUUUAUUAAGGAUGGAUUUGAAAGUAAUUUCAAACUUUUAUGAAUUUGGUUUAAAAUAUGUACAUAUCG
rnacentral:rRNA from 1 species